CUUGAAUCUGUCGAUCAUAAGAGAAGAAAGGUACUCCUCUCUUCCAUAUCACCGCUACUUGGGGCCUAUUAAUUCAAAUUUAACAUGAUUAUAGAUGGAUAUAUGGACUCUUAAAUAGCAGUUAAUAUUAAAAAGUGACAUACUUACAUAUAUAUAUUUAUAUAUAUACAUAUAUAUAUAUGUAUAUAUUUCCAAUGCUUGAAAAUUUCGGGUGUUUCCAUGGUCAAGUACGAAGUUAUGCCAUAUUGGUGUACUAGUAUAAGAACUUCUCAAUGCACAAACUGAAAAUUUGCCGAUUUUAGAGUACACUUUGGUUUCAUAAUAUUGCAUACCAUUAAUUGUGGAUAGAGCAGUUGGAUUUGCAUGAAUUUUUAUCUAAUUUUGAGCUGAUUAUUGAAAGAAUUAAGUGAUGUUUAUGAUUGCUUAAUUGGUGGGGCUAUUUCCUCUCCCUUUCUGGCUGCAAAUGCACAUUUUCUUUUGCUUAACACCUAAAAUAACUUUCAGAUACAAUUUUCCCAAUCCUUAAAUUGCCACACCUCUCUUUUUCUGUCGCUUUCUAGUCUACAUGCUGUCAUGUUCCUAUUUCCAUCUACAAAAUGAUGUUUCUUCCCGUUUUGUGUUUCUUUAGUGCAUAAGAUGAAGAACAUUGGCUUCCUCCACCCAAGAAAGGUUAUAAAAAAAAAAAAAAAAACCAAUUGGAUCGGAUUAUUUUGGUAGAAACUGUUGCAUACGUGACAAUUUGAUCUUCACUUCUUAGCUAUCCUAAGAUUAAGGAAAGAUGAACUAAAUAAGAGAGAGGGAAAGAAUGGUAUUGAAAGGGCCCAUAGAUGGACCUCAAACAAGAAAUUCCUCAUAGAGGGAGGGAGAGAAAGAAGGGGGUGGGCCCAUUUUGUGUUUCUUCAGUGCAUAAGAUGAAGAACAUUGGCUUCCUCCACCCAAGAAAGGUUAAAAAAAAACAAUUGGAACAAAUUAUUUUGGUAGAAACUGUUGCAUAUGUAACAUGUUUGAUCUUCAGUUCUUAGUUAUCUUAAGAUUAAGGAAAGAUGAACAAAAUAAGAGAGGGAAAAAAUGGUACUGAAAGGGCCCAUAGAUGGACCUCAAACAAGAAAAUCCUAAGAGAGGGAGGGAGAGAAAGAAGGGGGUGGAGGGUUAGGAGGGGGGAGGGAUAGAAAGAGAGGAUGAUGGUUUUAUUAGCUGAUCUCAUCUGCCCUUGCUGGUGGAUCUUUAUCUUUCCUUAUUGAGAAAGUUAUGUGAUGGGAAAGGGGCGAAGUUGCAAUGUAGAGUGUGACUCAGGCCCUCUUCUUGUUAGUGAAGAUAAUAGGAUUGUGCAAUCAAAGGAGCUUUUUUGUUGUACUUUAGUAACUGAGAC
rnacentral:lncRNA from 1 species